UACGGGGGGAGCAAGCGUUGUUCGGAUUUACUGGGCGUAAAGGGCGCGUAGGCGGCCACCGCAAGUCGACUGUGAAAUCUCCGGGCUUAACCCGGAAAGGUCAGCCGAAACUGCGGGGCUAGAGUGCAGAAGGGGCAACUGGAAUUCUCGGUGUAGCGGUGAAAUGCGUAGAUAUCGAGAGGAACACCUGCGGCGAAGGCGGGUUGCUGGGCUGACACUGACGCUGAGGCGCGAAAGCUAGGGGAGCGAACGGG
rnacentral:rRNA from 1 species